UAGGGAAUCUUCCGCAAUGGACGCAAGUCUGACGGAGCAACGCCGCGUGAGUGAAGAAGGUUUUCGGAUCGUAAAACUCUGUUGUAAGAGAAGAACAAAUUGUAGAGUAACUGCUACAGUCUUGACGGUAUCUUACCAGAAAGCCACGGCUAACUACGUGCCAGCAGCCGCGGUAAUACGUAGGUGGCAAGCGUUGUCCGGAUUUAUUGGGCGUAAAGGGGGCGCAGGCUGCUUCUUAAGUCUGAUGUGAAAGCCCACGGCUUAACCGUGGAAGUGCAUUGGAAACUGGGAAGCUUGAGUACAUAAGAGGAAAGAGGAACUCCGUGUGUAGCGGUGGAAUGCGUAGAUAUAUGGAAGAACACCAGUGGCGAAAGCUACUUUCUUGUCUGUCACUGACGCUGAGGCACGAAAGCGUGGGUAGCAAACAGG
rnacentral:rRNA from 1 species